AAGCUCGUAGUUGAAUUUCGGGAUUAGUACGUUGGUCGUGCCUUAGGUACGUACUGGUGUUACUGGUUCCUACCUUCUGACGAACCAUCAUGUCAUUAAUUUGGUGUGGUGGGGAAUCAGGACUGUUACUUUGAAAAAAUUAGAGUGUUUAAAGCAGGCUCGCGCUUGAACACAUUAGCAUGGAAUAAUGAAAUAGGACGUUGAUCCUAUUUUGUUGGUUUCCAGGAUUGACGUAAUGAUUAAUAGGGAUAGUUGGG
rnacentral:rRNA from 1 species